rnacentral:rRNA from 1 species
UACAGGGGGGUGCAAACGUUGCUCGGAAUUAUUGGGCGUAAAGCGCGCGUAGGCGGCCACUUAAGUCGGAUGUGAAAGCCCCCGGCUCAACUGGGGAGGGUCACGCGAUACUGAUCGACUCGAAGGCAGGAGAGGGUAGUGGAAUUCCCGGUGUAGUGGUGAAAUGCGUAGAUAUCGGGAGGAACACCAGUGGCGAAGGCGACUACCUGGCCUGUUUCUUGACGCUGAGGCGCGAAAGCUAGGGGAGCAAACGGG